AAGAGGUGGGGCUGUGUGUGUGUGUGCGCAGAUAAGUGAUGUGUCCACCAUACACAUCAUUGAAACAAACUGUCUAUUUACAUAUUUGUGUGGAGAGACAGACAGACAGACAAACGGACGGAAGAUUGUCUUCAACUACUUAAUUUACCUGCUCUUGCCUUACAGUAAGGAGGUUGUGAGUUCAAUUCCUCUUUCUAAUUGAUGAUCUGUUUGUAUGGGGUUUACAGGUCGUCACUGUAGUUUUCACGUACUGCGGUCUCCUCCUACAAUAACACAUAGGAGUCAAGUCCCUGCUUAAAGAAUGUUGGGAUUGGCUACCGCUCUAGCCAAGAACCUGGAAGAAAAAGCAGUAGAGUGAAUGGAUCAACAAUCUCCCAGAACAUCGUAGACUUUUUAUUCUUUGUUGAGUCUCCUCCAGACUAGAUGGUCUUCUUAUCUUGUUUAGUCCACAGGUUUUACAUGGGAUUUUAGUCAUUGUUCUGUCCAUAACGGUUGCCAACAUCCAGCUCGGUCUUCUGCAGAGGGCUCUUCAUCUCUUUGAACCGUGUCAUGCGACUGAUAACAGUUUAACUGCAGUUUUUCCUUUUAUCAUCUUGUUUCUUGGGUGUGCAGUUAUUUUUGUUAUUUACUUAUCUAUUAUUUAGUGUACUUAUUUUGCCUUUAAUGUAUACUCGGCAAAAAGUAAAUGACAGCUAUAUCACAAAUAUGGUUCUUAGCUCUUAGGAUAUAUUCACUUGACAUUCUGAUAAGAUAUAAAAUAAACCACUGAACCCUUUAUUUGUACAAGUUUUUUCUUUAAAUCUUUUUUUGAUCUCUUCUUUCUGUAGUUUAACACAUUACUUCCGUAAACACACACACACACACUGAUACUCAGCCAGUGAACCUUCACACAAAUGUUUUAAACUAUAUUUAUUACUACUUCUGUCAAAAACAAAAAUUAAAGCAACAUAAAUCCAGAAAAGCUUUAUUUUCAUCAACUGAUUAUCAUCAUAGUGUGCACUUAAUACUGUAGCUUAGUCCCAUUAACACACUCUCCUACACACAUGGCAUCGACUCUGCCGUGGGACCAUUUAGCCCUUCCAUAAGUGAUCAAGACUUUUUUGUAGCGUGAACCUUUAAAGAAAUAAUAAAACAGGCAUGGUGGAAACAAAAAGUCACUAAAGCAGGUUCAGUAAAAUUCUCAGAGCACUUUCAAGUAAACUAAGGAGAAGUUAAUGUAGCGUUCUAUGACAUGUAGCCACCAAAAUCAUUACGGACAUGUUCACAUUCAUUUCACGGUGAAACCACACACACUCUCAGAUCCCAGAUGAUGUCAGGCCUGUGCAUCAUGUUGAGGUGGAAUGUUCUUCAGAGCCCUCAGCCUAGUGUCCUCUCAGCAGGCCGUGGCUCAGCAUUCAUCAAUCGGACCACAUCUAUGCAGCACGGACAUGGAAAGUGUGAUCCGAAAUAAAACCAAAAACAUUCCCACUUCUAAGGAGGCUUCAAAUCUUUCUGGAGAUUUCUGAUUUUUCUGUCAGGGGCCAUAAAACAUGGGGAGGCCAGCAGCGUUGGCCGACUAUCCUCAGCGUCGUAGACGCCUCACAGAAUUGGUCCACAGAGAGGUGAGGCUUUUAAAGGGCAUUAAAUAACUCACUCUCACCGUCUCCGUCUGUCUCUUUGCUCCACACACAGUGUCACUGCCGCAGCUUCUUGUGCUAAAUUACCAGAUGUUAAUGCGGUUGGAGACGCCGUGGAUGUUGUGGCUUAGCAUGUAAUAAAAAAAUAGAAAUUCUUGAUGUUGCUCUUCGCACCACCAUCUGUUCCAGAUCCAAACAAUCCUGCAGUCGUCUCCACCAGGCACGUGAGGAAGUUCAAGCGACAUCACAAAAUAGUUUAUGACCACUUUUGGUGAUCGUUCACGAGUUCCUCCAGAGGCACGGGGAAAAAAAAGAGGACCUUAUUUUAGUCUUUCACACUCGCUUUUGCCUGGAGCAGAAAAAUCAGCACAGUCCAAGGACAUGUCACAGUUUCACCAGACAGAACUGUUGAAGGUCCAGUGUCACCUUUUCACCGAGACUAGUUCGAACACACCAGACAAUUAAGACAGCGUUAGUGAGGAAUACAAAGUAAAAAAAGCUUAUGUCAGUGCAGCUACUUCUUGUCACCAUAACUGUAAAUAAUACAUUUGUAUUCACUCCAAACA